UGGCCGCACAAGUCCAUCGGGAAAUCCACCUGCUCAACAGGUGGGCGUCCGGUGGAAACUGUGUGGCUUGGGACCGGAAGGCGCGACGGGUACGUCCGGGGUAGGAGUGAAAUCCCGUAAUCCUGGACGGACCGCCGAUGGCGAAAGCACGUCGCGAAAACGGAUCCGACAGUGAGGGACGAAAGCUAGGGUCUCGAACCGGAUUAGAUACCCGGGUAGUCCUAGCCGUAAACACUGCCUGCUAGGUGUGGCACCCACUACGAGUGGGUGCUGUGCCGUAGGGAAGCCGCUAAGCAGGCCGCCUGGGAA
rnacentral:rRNA from 1 species